GGCCGACUGGCCUAAUGGCUAAGGCGUCAGUUUCCGGUGUUCUCACUUGUUAGCUGGAGAUUCUGGGUUCGAUCCCCAGGUUGGUCG